CAGUAGCCACGGGAAAACGAAGGGGGCUAGCGUUGUUCGGAAUUACUGGGCGUAAAGCGCACGUAGGCGGAUUGUUAAGUUAGGGGUGAAAUACCAGGGCUCAACCCUGGAACUGCCUUUAAUACUGGCAAUCUCGAGUCCGAGAGAGGUGAGUGGAAUUCCGAGUGUAGAGGUGAAAUUCGUAGAUAUUCGGAGGAACACCAGUGGCGAAGGCGGCUCACUGGCUCGGUACUGACGCUGAGGUGCGAAAGCGUGGGGAGAAAACAGGAUUAGAUACCCCGGUAGUCCCUGUCUCUUAUAC
rnacentral:rRNA from 1 species